UACGUAGGGUGCAAGCGUUAUCCGGAAUUAUUGGGCGUAAAGAGUUCGUAGGUGGUGCACCAAGUUUAUAGUUAAAUCCGGUCGCUCAACGAUCAAAUUGCUAUAAAAACUAGUGCGCUAGAGGAUGGCAGAGGUAACUGGAAUUCCACAUGUAGGGGUAAAAUCCGUUGAUAUGUGGAGGAACACCAAAAGCGAAGGCAGGUUACUGGGCCAUUUCUGACACUGAGGAACGAAAGCGUGGGGAGCAAACAGG
rnacentral:rRNA from 1 species